AAGGGGUGUUGGUGCACAAAGAUCUGCUAAUUCCUUGAACUGGGGUUAAACUCCCCAGACCUCUUAC
rnacentral:tRNA from 1 species